GGGUGCGAUCAUACCAGCACUAAUGCACAUGAUCCCAUCAGAACUCUGCAGUUAAGCGUGCUUGGGCGAGAGUAGUACAAGGAUGGGUGACCUCCUGGGAGGUCCUCGUGUUGCACCCC
rfam:Gossypium raimondii Chr06_contig_397, whole genome shotgun sequence.